ACUCUUUUUGACACUCCCAAACACGGCUCUUUCUCUUCGCUUUUAUUGAUUCUUUUUCCCUUCAAUUUUCAGUCAAAAGCAAAUAAUCAGUACAGGUUUUAUGAUUCCGAUGGGCAUACAGAAAGUACGCCGGAGCUGAGCUGAAAAUAGCUAUUGAGUUCCUUUGACUCGUUGAUAUAAAAUCGAAAUUUCUAAAACCCUAAGUACAAUUCACUCGGGAAAUACGUUUUAUGUACGAUCCUUAUACGUACGUAUACUGAUUUUUACUGAGAAUUUGGAGCUUCCAUUUUCGAGCUUUUGUAGUUCAGGUGUAUGCUCAGCUAUGGAGGUUGAAUUGGUAACAGAUGGAAUGCCGGAAGAUGAAAAAUAUGGCAUUGAUGAAAACUUUGAAGAUCUUUCAACUUUUGAGAGUGAAAGAUGUGGUAUAUGUAUGGAUAUCGUCAUUGACAGAGGAGUUCUUGAUUGUUGCCAACAUUGGUUCUGUUUUACAUGCAUCGAUAAUUGGGCCACCAUCACAAACUUAUGCCCACUCUGCCAGAUUGAAUUUCAAUUGAUCACUUGUGUGCCGGUAUUUGAUACCAUUGGAGGGAACAAAACUGAUGAUGAUUCAUUCAGGGAUGAUGACUGGUCCAUUGAAGGAAAGAACAAUACUCUCUCAUUUCCAUCAUACUAUAUUGAUGAGAAUGCAGUUGUCUGCUUAGAUGGAGAUGGCUGUAAAAUUCGGACUGGAUCAGCAGGAAUUGAGGCUGAUUCAAACCUUGAUACAUCAAUUGCUUGUGACUCAUGUGACACAUGGUACCAUGCUUUUUGUGUUGGAUUUGACCCUGAAGGCACGUGUGAGAACUCAUGGCUAUGCCCAAGAUGUAUUGCUGACAAUAUCCCUGGCAAGUUGGAUGUUCUUCCAGUAUCUAAGUCCAGCAACCAAUGUGAUCCAGAAAAAGCAAGUAACAACUCCUCGGUUGAGCCUGAUUUCUCUGGAAAAGUGUGUGUUGCUGUUGCUGAUGCUGGUGAGACUGCUGUUGUUGUCUCUAUGGUUGAGGGAUAUCAUGAGGAUGGAGCAUCAGACGGACAGAUUUCGACUUCAAAUUGUAGCAAAGACAUAAAACCUAGCACAUUAUCAUCUAAUUCUGUUGUCGAUAUUCACAAUUCAGUAUUGGAUGACAGUAAGUGUAUUCUGCCAAACCUAGAGCCGGAGGACCAAGAACUGCCCUCUUCACUCCAUAAGUCUUCUGAUUCAACUCCAUAUUCUUCUACAUUAGCUAAUGUGGAGAUAAACACUAAUGAUAAAGUAACAAGUGGGAUGGCACUUCUACAAAGAUCUGUCCAGCCUCUUAACAACAAGGUGAUCGAACCUGGUUUAGAUCUUCAUCUUGGUUUAGCAGUGGGAUCAUGUACAAAAGACUCUAGAGCAUCUUGGUACACUUCAAUGGUUCAACAAGCUUCCUUUUUUUCCUCUCAGGCUCUCAAUAGGUUUUCAGCAGAUAACUCAGAUGACAGGCUGAUGACAGAAAAGGAGGUCCCUGUUGCUAUUGCUGGUGCUAAGAGAAAACAUAGAGAAAUCAGAGAUGCUGAAAAAGGGAGAAGUAAAGGUAAGAGUGAGAGUCCACAUCAUUUGAAGAAAGCCAAAACUGAGGGCAAUGGACAGACUGAUCCAAAGGACCAAACAGUUACAAGUACUUCAGAUGGCCAGUCCAAAUCAUGUGUAACUGUCCCUAAAGAUGGAAAGCUGAAAUGCAUAUCCAAAAAGGAAAGUGCAGACAUUGAUAUUAUGGAUAUAGUUCAGGGUACAAGUCGUAAACCUUUGAAGAAAAGUGCACGAAGCGAUUCUGAUGGCAUGUCCAGUAAGCAAAUGGAAAAUGCAGCUGGCUUGAGAGUUAAAAAAAUAAUGAGAAGAGUUGAUGGUGAAGAUUCAUCUGUGCUAGUCCAAAAAUUAAGAAAGGAUAUCAGAGAAGCUGUUCGCAGCAAAUCCACUGAGGAGCUUGAUAAAAACAUUUUUGAUCCAAAACUUCUGGCUGCUUUUAGGACUGUUGUGGCUGGAUCAACAACUGAAACUAUGAAGUCACAUCUAGAUCUGAAGGCAAAGCAGUCACUCUUGCAGAAGGGAAAAAUUCGUGAAAACCUAACCAAAAAAAUUUAUGGGAUUGGGGGGAGGAGAAAACGAGCAUGGACUCGAGAUUGUGAAAUUGAAUUCUGGAAACAUCGCUGCUCAAAAGCAUCAAAGCCUGAAAAAAUUCAAACCUUAAAGUCGGUUCUUAACCUCUUGAGAGAUGACUCUGGGAAUGCAGAGGUAAAGCACACAAAUGCAGGAGAGGGAACGGGUUCCAUUCUAUCAAGGCUGUAUUUGGCAGAUACUUCUGUUUUCCCAAGAAAAGAUAACAUUAAGCCUGUCUCAUCCCUUAAUACUAGUGGAAUAUCUGAGCAGAUAACAGAAAAUGGCCCUCCAGCAAAUGCUUCAAAACCAUCUCUUCUAAGUCACGCCGACACAGUUCCCCAAAAUAACGAAGCUUUGAAACAGGUCCCUUUUCCUCCUUUGACUGCCAAAGUAGCCCCUAAGAUGGUUCCUAAUAAGAAACCUGAUUCUUCUUCCCGACUACAUUCAAACAAGUGCCUAGAAGGGCCAUCUAACUCCACAUCAAGCAGCACCAUACCUUCCAAGGGGGAAUCUGUCCUUCCAUCUGACAAUACAAAGACAGAUAGAAAGAAAUGGGCUUUAGAGCUUCUUGCUAGGAAAGCUUCAGCUGUUACUAAGAAUGCAGCAGAUGGAAAUGCAGAGGAUAAUGCUGCAUUGAAACAAACUUAUCCCUUGCUAGCUCAACUGCCAAAAGACAUGCGACCGGUUUUGGCUGCCAGUCGUCAUAAUAAGGUUCCUAUGUCAAUCAGGCAGGCUCAACUUUAUCGCCUUACUGAACAUUUCUUAAGAAAAGCAAAUCUAGCAGUUAUUCAUAGAACUGCAGAUACAGAGUUAGCCGUUGCUGAUGCUGUUAAUAUUGAAAAGGAGGUUGCUGAUAAGUCGAAUAGCAAAUUAGUAUAUGUUAAUCUCUGUUCUCAGGAGCUACGGCGUAGAUCUGAUAGUACUAGUUCUGACAAAGCUACAGGGUUGAAUCCUGGGCAAAGUACAGAGAUGCCUUCUAAUGCAUUAGAAGCGUCAAUUGAGAAUCAUUCUGCUGACUCUGCUGUAGUCAAUGAGGCACUAAUAAAUGCUGGGCUCUUGUCUGAUUCCCCACCAAGUACCCCACAGAGGCCUACGGAGGAAUUCAAAGAAGAGAAUUGCUUCUCAAAUGAAGUUGAAGAUGAUGGGCCUAAUGAUGUGUUUGAAGUUGAACCUCCUCCAGAGCUUGAUAUUUAUGGGGAUUUUGAUUACAAUUUGGAAGAUGAUUUCACAGGUGCUAGCAGUUCCAUGAUCUCUGAGCCACAGCUGGUAGAAGCCAAAAUGAAAGUUAUAUUCUCCACACAUAACCCCGAUACAUCGAAUGUCACUCUGGAACAACCAAAUGUGGAAAGACAGGAAACUUUUGAAGAUCCCAAAGAUUCUUCUUGCCUAGUUGACAGUGAUGUUGUGAGCACUGAAGCAGGAAGCUCAUUAAUUGACACUAGUAGAGACAACAGCAUCCCUCAGAGUUCCUUUACUGAUGGAGGUGAAGAGCUUUCUAUUGCAGAAUGUGAGGAAUUGUAUGGACCUGAUAAAGAACCACUAAUCCAAAAGUACCCUGAGAUGGCGUCAAUAAAGCCAUGUGAGCUGGCAAUCAAUAACCAAAUUUCACAAACUAAUGGGGGCUGUGAAUCUAGCCAAGCAGCCAAAUCAUCUGAGCUUGAAAGUGAGAGUGGAAUGGAUAAUGUGGAAGCUUCUGCUUCUUCCCAGUGCCCUUCUAUUACAGAAAAUUCACCAAACAACAUUGAGGGGAGUGAAAAUGUACAAAGAAGGGACAAUGCAUCUAAAUCCAAUACCAGCAAGGAAUCAGAUAGCACCAGCCCUGUGUCAAGGAAGGUUGAAGCUUAUAUCAAAGAGCAUAUCAGGCCACUAUGCAAGAGUGGUGUGAUCUCAGUUGAACAGUACAGGUGGGCUGUGAGUAAAACUACUGAGAAAGUUAUGAAAUAUCACUCCAAAGACAAAAAUGCUAAUUUUCUCAUCAAAGAAGGUGAGAAAGUGAAGAAACUUGCAGAGCAGUAUGUUGAGGCUGCACAGAAUAUGCCAAAAAAUCAAUAGGCCAACAGUAUAAUAUUCAGUCAACGUAUAGCUUUUGCUUUUGCUUUUCUUUUAUUUUUGUUUUGCCCCAAAGAAUGGCUGUAAAAACAAGAAGAGAAAUGGUCGGUUCAUUUCUUGAAAAAGCAUGGAUAGAAGCCAUGUAUAAAGUGAUUCUCAAAUUUGUCUGCACCUUGAAGCUAAUACAGGCUUUUGAUAGACAUUUUAGUCUAUGUAGCAUGGAAACAGGAAAUGAGAAACAAAGAUGAAAUUUGUCACAAGAGAUCAAUGGUCGAGUCUUACUAGCGGUAGCGUGGGAGCAACCUCGCGAAAUGAGGGUUCUCCUUGAGGGUUUCAGGUUUGUGCAUGAAUGAAGAAAUCAGAAAUGGUUUAGUUUGUGUAUAAACUCCAUGAAAGAUUCCUUGAGUGGGUCGUGGACACGCUAGAGCUUGCUGAUGGUGAGUUGUAUUCUCAAUUCCAAGCAGCCGUCCAUUACACAGCACCUGGUUCCAAAAGCAACAUUAGGAAUAUCAUAUUGAAAUGCAAGUUAGAUUAUAUUUCUCAAAUUGUCAAGUCGCAAAACCACCUUUGUAAGAAUAAGCAUACAAAGAAUUUCUUACUUAUCGCAAA